rnacentral:rRNA from 1 species
GACGAACGCUGGCGGCGUGCCUAAUACAUGCAAGUAGGACGCAGUUGCGAACGGGUGAGUAACGCGUAGGUCACUGCCUAUUAGUGGGUGCGAACUAUUGGAAACGAUAGCUAAUACCGCCUACUAGUAGAUGGACCUGCGUUGUAUUAGCUAGUCGGUAGGGUAAUGGCCUACCUAGGCAAAGUUACAGAGCCGACCUGAGGGGGUGAUCGGCCACAAGGGGACGGAGACACGGGCCAGACUCCUACGGGAGGCAGCAGUAGGGGAUCUUCGGAAAUGGGGGGAACCCUGACCGAGCAACGCCGCGGGAGUGAAGAAGGUUUUCGGAUCGUAAAGCUCUGUUGUUAAGGAAGCGGUACUUAACCAGAAAGGGACGGCUAACUACGUGCCAGCAGCCGCGGUAAUAC